rnacentral:rRNA from 1 species
GUAUACAGCCAUACCACCCUGUACAAGCCCUGAUCUUCUCUGAUCUCGAAAACUAAGCAGGGUCGGGUCUGGGUUAGUACUUGGAUGGUAGAAAAGGUACAAAACAACUUUUGAAAUAUAUU